rnacentral:rRNA from 3 species
CACGUACUGUGCGAACGUUAUUCGGAAUCACUGGGCUUAAAGGGUGCGUAGGCGGCAAUUCAAGUCAGGUGUGAAAUGCCUGAGCUCAACUGAGGCAUUGCGCUUGAAACUGAACUGCUUGAGUAUCCCAGGGGUGUGCGGAACUGCCAGUGGAGCGGUGAAAUGUGUUGAUAUUGGCAGGAACACCGGAGGCGAAAGCGGCACACUGGGGGAUAACUGACGCUGAGGCACGAAAGCCAGGGGAGCGAACGGG